rnacentral:rRNA from 1 species
AGUAUAACAGAACUGUGGGGACACGUAAGGAGAGCGGGAGCCGGAAAUGGAAAGUCCGGUACAAGCGAGGUACCAGUAUGGUAGGAAAAUCCGCCAUGCAAUGGGAAGACGUGAUGUGGAGUGAAAUAUAGUAACGAAGCCCGUGAGCCAUGCGUCAAGAAAAGCCGCUAUUGUUUAUAUUGUACCCGUACCGUAAACCGACACAGGUGGAUGAGGAGAGAAUCCUAAGGCCGGCGGAAGAAGUAUUGCCAAGGAACUCGGCAAAAUGGCCCCGUAACUUAGGGAGAAGGGGUGCCUGCGAGAGCAGGCCGCAGAGAAUAGGCUCAAGCAACUGUUUAGCAAAAACACAGGUCUAUGCGAAACCGAAAGGUGAGGUAUAUGGGCUGACGCCUGCCCGGUGCUGGAAGGUUAAGAGGAGAGGUUAGCGGCAACGCGAAGCUUUGAAUUUAAGCCCCAGUAAACGGCGGCCGUAACAAUAACGGUCCUAAGGUAGCGAAAUUCCUUGUCGGGUAAGUUCCGACCCGCACGAAAGGCGUAAUGAUUUGAGCGCUGUCUCGGCAAUACAUCCGGUGAAAUUGAAGUGCCAGUGAAGAUGCUGGCUACCCGCGCCAGGACGGAAAGACCCCAUGGAGCUUUACUCCAGUUUGGCACUGGGGUCCGGUGUUGCAUGUACAGGAUAGGUGGGAGGCUGAGAAACGGUAACGUCAGUUGCCGCGGAGCCGCUGUUGGGAUACCACCCUUGUGAUAUUGGGCUUCUAACCUGCCGCCGUGAUCCGGCGGUGGGACAAUGCCAGGCGGGGAGUUUGACUGGGGCGGUCGCCUCCGGAAUGGUAUCGGAGGCGCCCAAAGGUUCCCUCAGAAUGGACGGAAACCAUUCGAAGAGUGCAAAGGCAGAAGGGAGCUUGACUGCGACACCGACGGGUGGAGCAGGUACGAAAGUAGGGCUUAGUGAUCCGGUGGUAUUAAGUGGGAAUGCCAUCGCUCAACGGAUAAAAGCUACCCUGGGAUAACAGGCUUAUCACUCCCAAGAGUUCACAUCGACGGAGUGGUUUGGCACCUCGAUGUCGGCUCAUCGCAUCCUGGGGCUGUAGUAGGUCCCAAGGGUUGGGCUGUUCGCCCAUUAAAGCGGUACGCGAGCUGGGUUCAGAACGUCGUGAGACAGUUCGGUCCCUAUCCGGCGUGGGCGCAGGAUAUCUGAGAGGAGCUGUCCUUAGUACGAGAGGACCGGGAUGGACGGACCGCUGGUGGACCGGUUGGCUUGCCAAAGCCAUGGCCGGGUAGCCAAGUCCGGAAGGGAUAAACGCUGAAGGCAUCUAAGCGUGAAGCCCCCCUCAAGAUGAGAUAUCCCAUUCUUUAAGAAGUAAACCCCCUUGAAGACGACGAGGUAGAUAGGGCAGAGGUGGAAGUGUGGCAACACAUGGAGCUGACUGUUACUAAUCGGGUGAGGGCUAGACC